rnacentral:rRNA from 1 species
AAUCAACGCUGGCGGCGUGCCUCAGACAUGCAAGUCGAACGAUUAAGACUCCCUUCGGGGAGUGCAUAAAGUGGCGCACGGGUGAGUAACACGUAAGUAAUCUACCCUCGAGUGGGGAAUAACGUUCGGAAACGAACGCUAAUACCGCAUAAUGCAGCGGCACCGCAAGGUGACAGUUGUUAAAGGAGCAAUCCGCUUGAGGAGGAGCUUGCGGCAGAUUAGCUAGUUGGUAAGGUAACGGCUUACCAAGGCUACGAUCUGUAUCCGGCCUGAGAGGGCGGUCGGACACACUGACACUGAAUAACGGGUCAGACUCCUACGGGAGGCAGCAGUCAGGAAUUCUGGGCAAUGGGCGAAAGCCUGACCCAGCAACGCCGCGUGAAGGAUGAAGUAUUUCGGUAUGUAAACUUCGAAAGAAUAGGAAGAAUAAAUGACGGUACUAUUUAUAAGCUCCGGCUAACUACGUGCCAGCCGCCGCGGUAAAAC